rnacentral:rRNA from 1 species
UACGUAGGGUCCGAGCGUUGUCCGGAAUUAUUGGGCGUAAAGGGCUCGUAGGCGGUUGGUCACGUCGGGAGUGAAAACCUCAGGCUCAACCUGGGGCUUGCAGUGGGUACGGGCAGACUAGAGUGCGGUAGGGGUGACUGGAAUUCCUGGUGUAGCGGUGGAAUGCGCAGAUAUCAGGAGGAACACCGAUGGCGAAGGCAGCACUCUGGGACGUGACUGACGCUGAGACGCGAAAAGCGUGGGGAGCAAACAGG